UUAUUGUUUAAAACUAAUAUUUAUUUGUGUGUGUGUGUGUGUGUGUGUGUGUGUGUGUGUGUGUGUGUGUGUGUGUGUGUGUGUGUGGAACCCAUGACAGCCUGCAGACAACCUCCUGUAGGCUUCGAAAAAAAAGUCAGUGCACAUUCUGCGUGCAGUUCCUUAUACAUUCGGAAGUCAAAAGGGGGUUUUUUUGCACAAAUCGUCCUCUGACGUUAACUGCUUAAAUAAUAUACAUCCCCCGUGUACUAAAAUGUUUUUGCUGAUCUUACAAGCAUCCACGUUCAGUUCAUUACAAAAGUUAAAAUGAUCCGUUCAUUGAGGCUUCCUGGUCAACGACGGAGUUACUGCUGCGUUUCAUACCUCCGACCAGAAGGUGGCGGAAGAGAUUCUUUCUCCCCUAAUAAAUCGUGCAUCGUGACGUAUAAUUCAAGCGACGCAAAUUCUAAUGAUAUGAAAAACCGACGUAGUUCUCGUCGGACGGAUUGUUUGUAUUCCGGGCUGUUGGAUAUCAAUGCUGCGUUUCGUUUCUGCCUGGUGAUGGCAGAGUUUUGCCCUCUUCCCGCCUCAUGAUGUGUCAUGGAUGUGCCAGGGGUCGACACACCGCAGCCACUGUUCGGACCCCAAGUUGCCUGAAAGGGAGUGGUCGCCUGAAUCUGUGGACACACGCCCUGCCAUUUCAGCAUCUCCCACUCCACUGCAGUCCCAGUGGGGGAAGGUGGCGUAGAUCACCCAGGGAAUGGCCACGGUGGCCGGUGGACUUACCUGCCGUCAAGCUCUUUAAGAGGAACACGUUGGCAACUAAAUGCCUUUCCGCUUCUCUCGGUCAGUCCGAGCUUUUGUACAAGGUGGGGAACCCAGAGUGCCUCUGUCCUUGUGCUCCUCUAGAAAGCUCAAGAUCAGCACACCUUUCUCUGGCUCUCUCUUUGUUUACAGGUGUCCCGUUUGAGGGGUCCUCCUUGUACAUUCAGAGUUUAAAGGAACCCCAGGGGCAUCUGGCCGAAAACGCAGUCACCUCUUGUUCCUCAAAGUCAGCUGAUCAGAGGAAGAAACUGACAGGAAGAGGCACAGCGGAGGUUCUUCAGGCAACAAAGAGAUUGAGGCUCACAGCUUAUAAGGAAGUAAGAACCCUGUGUCUGUUGAUGAGGUUCUCCUUUAGAUUCCAGUACCGGUGCAGAGCCAGGAAGUCUCGCUUAGGGAGCCACAGAAAAGCCAAGCACUUGUAUCGGAUCUCCACACUCAGGGGCAAGAGGCUGCGAACCGAGGUGAUCAGAUACCUGUCCAAUCUGAGCGCGGAAUUGAAGGGAUUGACUAGAGAGGUAAAUGCUGACCAUCUGCUGAAACUGAAGGCUAAGAGUCUGACGGUGCGUGGGAGGGAUGGGGUAGGACCCGCAGAAAUGACCAUGGUGCAAGACGGCCACGUUAGCAACGUGCCUGUGGGUGGACACGGCCGUACCUCAGGGAGAAAGCGCACGCCCAAAUCGUGCGACUGCUGUGGUCACAGCUGUGGGUCCCUGUCAGAUAAGGCCCCGAGCUCAGAGAAACCUGAAAGGAGGGGUAGAAAGAAGAGGACACUGGAGACCAUGGAGGAGACCCCUCUGGAGACCACAAAGGAGACUCCUCUGGAGACGCAGUCAGCCAACAGCCCGCAGGAUGCUCAGCUCAACGGCACUGUAAGCCCGGAGGGUGAAACGGGUACUGACAUGGAAAUAGAGCAGCCAGCACCCGACUUGAUCAGCUUGAACCCACUGCGGGACCACCGUUACUGUAAGACUGAGGAUGGACAUGCAGACUCUGAAAUGGAGGACAGCAUGUCCACAAAUCCACUCACUGUGGAAGGCAGCGAUGAACAAAUACAGGACCUUAUUCACGACUUCUUGGAAUACUUUUAUGGGAAGUAUGGGAGCUUUAUUGCCCUUAGUGACAGUGAUGUACUGGAGCACCUAAAUAAUAAGUUGAACACUGACCUCUCUGACAGGCAAGUAGAACACCGUUAGUUUUACUGGAUCCUGCAUCAGUAUCUGUUUUCACUUGUGUAUAUCUUGUGUGUCAUGUAUGAGCUCUCCAGACUGGCACAAAACCGAUUCCUUUUUAGAUCUUUAAUUCUUCAAGUCACCAUGACUCGAACCUGAGUCGAUGGCACUUAUGUCAUGUAUGCUUGAGUCCACAAGGUGAGGCAUGCAGAAUUAUUUAAAUUAGAUGGGUUUUGCUGUACUCUUCUCUUCUUCUUCUUCUUGUCAUUCAACUCAUUCCUGCAGUUAAACUUGUAAGUGUGGCUGAACUUUUGUACUUAAAAUGGGGAGCUACACAGUUGUCCUAACUUCGUAUUCACUUUUUGUUGGGAUAUACAUUAUAUUAUAUAUAUAUAUAUAUAUAUA
rnacentral:lncRNA from 1 species